CUCACUGAGUGUGGAGACUCUACCCAGGCGGUAGGCGAUGUGGUCACCCUACCCUGGUCAUAGAGUCCUGACACUCGGCGAG
rnacentral:pre_miRNA from 1 species